AUUUAUUGAAUUUUAAAUCAUGGCGGAUUUAUAAUUUGUUACUGUAGUAAUUUUAUGCUAUUUCAGAAUUGAAUAAAAUACUUAAUGGACGUUACAUUUGGGGAAGUUGUGAAGGUAAUAAAUUCGAGAAUAAGUAGAAUAAAGGUCAGUCUUAAUGAAGUAAUGGGGGAAUUUCGAAGUUGGUUUUACCCGAUGUAAUCCUACAAAGGUUUCUAGGCAGCACUAAAUCAACUAUUAAUAGACGCCCAGUCUGAGGGUAGACAGGUGCAGAUCGAAAAAGAGGCGAAGUAGUCAAAUAAUUAGUGGUCGGUUAUGCGACGAAUGGCCAGAAUGUUGAUAAAUGUGUGUUAAUAACGUAGAAAACGGAGGUGGUUGCGAACAUCACACCAUUAAUUCCAGUGGUUAGCGUACGAGUGUAGACUUUAGUUAUAGGAGGUAAUAAAUCACAAAUUGUUCGUGGUUGGGGAACGCCGGCCUAAUUGACUGUGAGGGAGACCUGCUCUUCGGGCCGCUUUUUUGCACCAAUUACCACUAAUUAAUUUACAAUUUUUUAUGUUGGGGAAACUUCCUUUGACCAUAGCGAUGUUAUUAAAGGAAACGUAUUAUAUGUAGUAUGAUUAAACCACAAUUUAAUUUAGACAUACAUCUAUGACAUUUUAAUUAGUCUACUUCAACGGAAAUAAUUGCUUUUUAUUUUUUAUUUGUUUACAACUUCGAAGAAGUAGUUUCGUACUUAGGUAUAGGUAAACAAAAUAUACGUGAACUGAUAUAAUUUUUUAAAAUAGUACUUCUUAGAAACCAGAUGAAAUUAUUUAUUGAGUUAAAGCAUUGUUCUUUCACACAAUGGGUCAUAAAUAAAAAUUAAUUGACUUAGACCAAGUAUUUAUACAUCUCAAGUAAGGUAUUUCCGCAUUCAUAUAUUUUCAAAACGUAAUGAUGGGUCAUAAAUUGAAAAUUAUUAUUUUCCUAUUCGUUAUAUUAUGUAAAAUAUGUGUUUCGAGAGCUUCUCGCGAUGCUAAUGCAAAGCGUGCAAUGGCUAAGCGAAGUGUUUUCAUUACAGACGAUCAUCGAUCUUAUGGCAUGCAUGCCAAAUUGGUACCCCGAUAUCCGCAUUUUAAAGUUGAGCACGAUUCCAUAAAAGGAUUUUUCCCACAAUUGAGGCCAAGUACCACCACACCUGGGUGUGUUGAGUAUGAGUUAAAUUCAGACGUAUUAAACUCAGAUGUAUUAUUUGAGGAAUAAGAUAAUCUGAAAUAUAUUAAUUAGUAAUUAGAAUUCAAUUCAGAAUUAAAAUAGUUUUAUUUAUCAGUUAA